UGAGCAAUCUGCCCUUCUCAUCGGAAUAAGCGUCGGGAACGACGUCUAAUGCCGAAUACGACCUCCUUUCGCAUGAUCGGAGGUGGAAAGCUCCGGCGGAGAAGGAUGAGCUCGCGGCCUAUCAGCUAGUUGGUGUGGGUAAUGGCCCACAAGGCGACGACGGGUAGCCGGCCUGAGAGGGUGACCGGCCACACUGGGACUGAGACACGGCCCAGACUCCGUACGGGAGCAG
rnacentral:rRNA from 1 species